rnacentral:rRNA from 1 species
AUUGAACGCUGGCGGCAUGCCUUACACAUGCAAGUCGAACGGUAACGGGCCUUCGGGUGCCGACGAGUGGCGAACGGGUGAGUAAUACAUCGGAACGUGCCCGAUCGUGGGGGAUAACGAGGCGAAAGCUUUGCUAAUACCGCAUACGAUCUACGGAUGAAAGCCGGGGACCGCAAGGCCUUGCGCGGACGGAGCGGCCGAUGGGAGAUUAGGUAGUUGGUGGGAUAAAAGCUUACCAAGCCGACGAUCUGUAUCUGGUCUGAGAGGAUGAUCAGCCACACUGGGACUGAGACACGGCCCAGACUCCUACGGGAGGCAGCAGUGGGGAAUUUUGGACAAUGGGCGCAAGCCUGAUCCAGCCAUGCCGCGUGCAGGAUGAAGGCCUUCGGGUUGUAAACUGCUUUUGUACGGAACGAAAAGCCUUCUUUUAAUACAGGAGGGUCAUGACGGUACCGUAAGAAUAAGCACCGGCUAACUACGUG